AUCACCACGGAGUGAUUCAUGACUGGGGUGAAGUCGUAACAAGGUAGCCCUAGGGGAACCUGGGGCUGGAUCACCUCCUUA
rnacentral:rRNA from 1 species